AGGUGGUGCAUGGUUGUCGUCAGCUCGUGUCGUGAGAUGUUGGGUUAAGUCCCGCAACGAGCGCAACCCUCGUCCUAUGUUGCCAGCGGGUCAUGCCGGGGACUCAUGGGAGACUGCCGGGGUCAACUCGGAGGAAGUGGGAUGACGUCAAAUCAUCAUGCCCCUUAUGUCUUGGGCUUCACGCAUGCUACAAUGGCCGGUACAAAGGGCUGCGAUACCGCGAGGUGGAGCGAAUCCCAGAAAGCCGGUCUCAGUUCGGAUUGGGGUCUGCAACUCGACCCCAUGAAGUCGGAGUCGCUAGUAAUCGCAGAUCAGCAACGCUCGCGGUCCGAAUACGUUCCGGCCUU
rnacentral:rRNA from 1 species